AGCAGCCGCGGUAAUUCCAGCUCCAAUAGCGUAUAUUAAAGUUGCUGCAGUUAAAAAGCUCGUAGUUGAAUUUCGGGAUCGAUACGUCGGUCGUGCCUUCGGUACGCACUGGCGUUUAUCGAUUUCUCCCUUCUGACGAACCAUGAUGUCAUUAAUUUGGUGUUAUGGGGAAUCAGGACUGUUACUUUGAAAAAAAUUAGAGUGUUUAAAGCAGGCAUUAGCUUGAAUACAUUAGCAUGGAAUAAUGAAAUAGGACGUUUUGAUUCUAUUUUUGUUGGUUUCUAGGAUCGACGUAAUGAUUAAUAGGGAUAGUUGGGGGCAUUAGUAUUCAAUUGUCAGAGGUGAAAUUCUUGGAUUUAUUGAAGACUAACUACUGCGAAAGCAUUUGCCAAGGAUGUUUUCAUUAAUCAAGAACGAAAGUUAGGGGAUCGAAGACGAUCAGAUACCGUCGUAGUCUUAACCAUAAACUAUGCCGACUAGGGAUCGGAUGAUUGUUAAGUUUUUUAAAUGGUACUCAUUC
rnacentral:rRNA from 1 species